ACCAUGCAAGUCGGACGGUGAUGAGGAGCUUGCUCUUUUGAUCAGUGGCGAACGGGUGAGUAACACGUGAGCAAUCUGCCCUUGACUCUGGGAUAAGCGUUGGAAACGACGUCUAAUACCGGAUACGACCUUGGAAGGCAUCUUCUGGGGUGGAAAGAAUUUUGGUCAAGGAUGAGCUCGCGGCCUAUCAGCUAGUUGGUGAGGUAAUGGCUCACCAAGGCGACGACGGGUAGCCGGCCUGAGAGGGUGACCGGCCACACUGGGACUGAGACACGGCCCAGACUCCUACGGGAGGCAGCAGUGGGGAAUAUUGCACAAUGGGCGAAAGCCUGAUGCAGCAACGCCGCGUGAGGGACGACGGCCUUCGGGUUGUAAACCUCUUUUAGUAGGGAAGAAGCGUUAAAGUGACGGUACCUGCAGAAAAAGCACCGGCUAACUACGUGCCAGCAGCCGCGGUAAUACGUAGGGUGCAAGCGUUGUCCGGAAUUAUUGGGCGUAAAGAGCUCGUAGGCGGUUUGUCGCGUCUGCUGUGAAAACCCGAGGCUCAACCUCGGGCCUGCAGUGGGUACGGGCAGACUAGAGUGCGGUAGGGGAGAUUGGAAUUCCUGGUGUAGCGGUGGAAUGCGCAGAUAUCAGGAGGAACACCAAUGGCGAAGGCAGAUCUCUGGGCCGUAACUGACGCUGAGGAGCGAAAGCAUGGGGAGCGAACAGGAUUAGAUACCCUGGUAGUCCAUGCCGUAAACGUUGGGAACUAGAUGUGGGGACCAUUCCACGGUCUCCGUGUCGCAGCUAACGCAUUAAGUUCCCCGCCUGGGGAGUACGGCCGCAAGGCUAAAACUCAAAGGAAUUGACGGGGGCCCGCACAAGCGGCGGAGCAUGCGGAUUAAUUCGAUGCAACGCGAAGAACCUUACCAAGGCUUGACAUAUAGAGGAAACGGUUGGAAACAGUCGCCCCGC
rnacentral:rRNA from 1 species